rnacentral:lncRNA from 10 species
GGACCCGGGGCUACAGAGGACAUCGGCGUGAGUCCUCAGAAAGGGCAGAUGCCCUGAAGUGGGUGUCAGGCAGAGGGCGGGGCCUAGAGCCGGCUGAGGCCAGAGCCUCCCCACGUGUGCAAGGACGCCCUGGGUCAAAGUCACAGUACUGGAAUCUGAGCACGCGUCCGUCUGUGGCAAGAGAGAAGCACAGAUGAAGCACAUGCUUUGCUCCUGCACCGCUCCCACGCCUCCGCACUCCAGAACUGAUCCUUGGCAGCCCGGCUGCCGGAGUGAUUACCUACAAGGCAAAUCUGAUUGCGCAGCUUUCCCACUCAAAGACCUUGGAUGAAUUCCUGCUGCCGUUCAACACAGGCCUCCAAACUUUUUUUUAGUGAUGUGAAACUCUUUCUUCAAACCAAGUCUUAGAAUCCUAAGAUCAAAUGCAGGCAAAAGUGGUGAAUUUUACCACCUGUUUAGUUGGUAUGCUGGCUGUAAUGCUGAAAAGUCAGAAGUAAACGCGUUCCCCGGGACCCAGGGCAUGCGCUUCAUCUCAGCGGCUUCUUACAAGGAUUGGGUGCAAGUGCUGCAGCAGAAAGAUGUUUCCAGGAACAUGGGAACCAAGGCUAGGUCUGCAUCUUCUCUGAAAAACUAGCCUGUUGUUUCUCAAACACACAUCAACAUAGCCUGAUAUUUCAGAGAGGAAGGGAAGGUCGGUUACAAACGGUAUCGCCAUGAGCCGCAAACGAAUGGAAGAAAUUCCACGUUAAAAAAAUGUGAAUUUCAUUCCAUAAGAAAAACCUUUAGUACGUAGCUCAGAAAACAGUCAAGAGGCCCAUGAUCAUCUCGGUUCAGGAAAUGCUAGGCUGCUGGAGACAGCCUUUUGUUUAACCUCAUAAACAUCUAACAAACACGGAAGACAUCAACUUGAUUGUUAUUUCUCUCCUUUUAAAUACCAUCACUCCUUUUUUUUUCUUAUUUUGGGGAUAGGGUCUUGCACUCUCUCUCAGGCUGGAGUGCAGUGAUGCAAUCUUGGCUCACUGCAGCCUCAACCUCCUGGGCUCAAGCGAUCCUCCCACCUUAGCCUCCCAAGUAGCUGGGACCAACAGGUGCAUGCCAUCAUGCCCGGCUAAUAGUCUGAAUUUUUUCUUUGGAGAGAUGGGGUCUCACAAUGUUGCCCAGGCUGGUCUUGAACUCCUGGGCUCAAGCAAACCACCUGCCUCGGUCUCCCAAGGUGCUGGGAUGACAGGCCUGAGCCACCACGCCCGGCCACCGCCGCUCCCUUACCCAGGAUGAUGCCGUUGGGCUCCUCCGGAGGUUGCCACACUAUCCGCACGGAG